GAUGAACGCUGGCGGCGUGCCUAAUACAUGCAAGUAGAACGCUGAAGGAGGGAGCUUGCUCUUUCCGGAUGAGUUGCGAACGGGUGAGUAACGCGUAGGUAACCUGCCUGGUAGCGGGGGAUAACUAUUGGAAACGAUAGCUAAUACCGCAUAACAGUAGAUGUUGCAUGAUAUCUACUUAAAAGGUGCAAUUGCACCACUACCAGAUGGACCUGCGUUGUAUUAGCUAGUUGGUGAGGUAACGGCUCACCAAGGCGACGAUACAUAGCCGACCUGAGAGGGUGAUCCGCCAAAAUGGGAAUGAGAAACGGCCCAGAACUCUACGGGAGGCAGCAGGAGGGAAUUUUUGGCAAUGGACGGAAGGCUGACCGAGCAACGCCGCGGGAGGGAAGAAGGGUUUCGGAUCGGAAAGAUCUGUUGUAAGGGAAGAAAGAGUGUGAGAGUGGAAAGUUCACACUGUGACGGUAUCUUACCAGAAAGGGACGGCUAACUACGUG
rnacentral:rRNA from 1 species